GACGUAGGGCGCGAGCGUUGUCCGGAUUUACUGGGCGUAAAGGGCGCGUAGGCGGCCCGCUAAGUCGAACGUGAAAUCUCCGGGCUUAACCCGGAAAGGUCAGCCGAUACUGCGGGGCUAGAGUGCAGAAGGGGCAACUGGAAUUCUCGGUGUAGCAGUGAAAUGCGUAGAUAUCGAGAGGAACACCAGUGGCGAAGGCGAGUCUCUGGACGACUCCUGACACUGAGGCACGAAAGCUAGGGGAGCAAACAGG
rnacentral:rRNA from 1 species